AUUGUUAGUAGCAAACGUAGCACCGGAUACGUCAUCAAAGAAGAGAAAAGAGAAAGUGAACGAAGAUAUCGAUUAAAUUCGAUAAAUAGUGGCUAGGUACGAAAGUAUAAGGACUCAGCAUACAAGCCGAUCCCCAAACUCAAAUUGGUGAAGUUUCUAUCUUUUUAGAAAAUGGCAUUGUACCUAGGAUGUCUUUUGGUUAUUUUGAAAGUAUUUAAGUUGUUAAGUGA